rnacentral:rRNA from 1 species
UACGUAGGGUGCAAGCGUUAAUCGGAAUUACUGGGCGUAAAGCGUGCGCAGGCGGUUGUGCAAGACCGAUGUGAAAUCCCCGGGCUUAACCUGGGAAUGGCAUUGGUGACUGCACGGCUAGAGUGUGUCAGAGGGGGGUAGAAUUCCACGUGUAGCAGUGAAAUGCGUAGAGAUGUGGAGGAAUACCGAUGGCGAAGGCAGCCCCCUGGGGAUAACACUGACGCUCAUGCACGAAAGCGUGGGGAGCAAACAGG